UACGGAGGGGGUUAGCGUUGUUCGGAAUUACUGGGCGUAAAGCGCACGUAGGCGGAUUGACAAGUUGGGGGUGAAAUCCCGGGGCUCAACCCCGGAACUGCCUCCAAAACUGUCAGUCUUGAGUUCGAGAGAGGUGAGUGGAAUUCCGAGUGUAGAGGUGAAAUUCGUAGAUAUUCGGAGGAACACCAGUGGCGAAGGCGGCUCACUGGCUCGAUACUGACGCUGAGGUGCGAAAGCGUGGGGAGCAAACAGG
rnacentral:rRNA from 1 species